rnacentral:lncRNA from 10 species
CUUAUGAGGUAAAUAAUAAAAUGGCAGAAUAUAUCAACAGUGCAGGUGUCCCCUCCUUGAAUAUGGCCCUGAUGCAUACAUUAUAGAUGUAGAGACAUAUUGCAGGUAAUAUAUUGGGCUCGAGACUUUUUCGUUAUCACAGGAGUUUUUGUUUCAUUUUGUUUUUUAAUCCCUGCAUAGGAUAUGUGCACAUGUAUUUAAAAGGUCAAAGAGAAAAAUCUGAGAAAAUAAAUGCCAUGCUGUAGAGACUUGUUUUACUUUU